UGUUGUAGGGUAAAAAUAGCAACUAAAGCAUUAUGUUGAUUUGCUCUGUGUCCAAUUUAGCUUGUUUUGGGGGAUUAAAAAAUAAUAUAGUGAUCUUUUGGGAAAAAAAUUAUUAUUCAAAAACAAAUGCUUGUGAAAUGUAUCCCAAUCCUCCAAAUAGGAGCUGCUGAUCAAUUGUGACCUCUAAAGUUUCUUAAAAUAUGAAAAAUGCUUUAUUGACCAGAGACAUUGGGUUAAUUUUUAAGGUGGAAUGUUGACAUGCACUGUUUCAUAAUUUUGAUGUGCUGUGUCUGAAUGUAUAUUGACAAUAAGCUGAAAUAAUUACAUGCACCAAUCUUUUACUGUGUCUUUCAUGCCUGAAUUAUGAGUAUUGCAAAUGGACCCCAGCAAAAUUUACGUUGUACUCAUAGACUUUAAGGCCAGAAAGGACCAUCAUGAUAAUCUAGUCUGACCUCGUGCACAAUGCAGGCCACGGAAUUUCACCCACCCUUACCUACUGACUGACUUCUGACUCUUAAUAUAAUAGGAAUAAGCUACAGGAACUGCAGUAUAUUCUAAAAGUAUACUUUGUCUGACCUGUUAGAUAUAAUGCAAAAUUAUUCUGAUUAAUAGGAGCAUCAACAUCAUAUUGAUGAUGUCUCUGCUACUGAGUUGGCCUUAUGGAUAAUAAGUUUAUGGCGUAUAAUAAUCUGCAUUGAUCAUACUAUGAUGAUAAAGCUUAAGAACAUCUGCAGUUCUGACAUCUUUUCAAAGCUUGUGCUUGUUGCUGGUACGCAUUUGUCCCACAGUUGGAAAUACUCAGACAAUCAAAUUUCUAGUCAUUUUAUAUCUGAAUAAAGAGAGUUUUGGUAAGACCUAAUUCUGCAGGUUAGAGAAUGCUCUCAGUGAAUCAGGUGCUUACAGGAUCAUGAAUUAUGUGUCCAGAGAAUACUGCACAGGUAAGAGUGAACAAAAGCUGUAAGUGUGUCGAAGGGCUAUAAACAUGGCUUGUAAUAAGCAAAAAUCAUGAUAUAGAUAGGUGGGCUUAAUCAUAUUAUCUAAGGUUAGGUGUUAUGUAUAUGAUGGCAAUCUUAACCCCCUCUCCCCCC